GUGAAUCAUCGAAUUUUUGAACGCAAAUUGCACUCUCCUCGGAGAGUAUGCCUGUUUGAGGGUCAGCCUAUAAAAAUCGAGAUUGUUGCUGUUUUGCGGUGGCGUUCGUCGGAGAUUGGGUACUCUUACAUCCUUUUGAUUUACGCGACUUAAAAUUUUUUUUUGGUUUCAUGAACGUAUCUACGAUUUAUUUCUUUACACGUUUAAGGUAUCGAUUUUUACUAGACGUGACUAUCAUAUCGGUUCGCGUCCAUA
rnacentral:misc_RNA from 1 species